rnacentral:rRNA from 1 species
CAGAUUGCAGGCUGCAACUCGCCUGCAUGAAGUCGGAAUUGCUAGUAAUCGUAGGUCACGCAUACUACGGUGAAUACGUUCCCGGGCCUUGUACACACCGCCCGUCAAACCAUGAGAGUUGGCAACACCCGAAGUCGGUAGUCUAACCGCAAGGAGGACGCCGCCGAAGGUGGGGUUGAUGAUUAGGGUUAAGUCGUAACAAGGUAGC